rnacentral:rRNA from 1 species
UAGGGAAUCUUCCGCAAUGGACGCAAGUCUGACGGAGCAACGCCGCGUGAGUGAAGAAGGAUUUCGGUUCGUAAAACUCUGUUGUUAGAGAAGAACAGCGCAUAGAGUAACUGUUAUGCGUGUGACGGUAUCUAACCAGAAAGCCACGGCUAACUACGUGCCAGCAGCCGCGGUAAUACGUAGGUGGCAAGCGUUGUCCGGAUUUAUUGGGCGUAAAGCGAGCGCAGGCGGUCAAUUAAGUCUGAUGUGAAAGCCCCCGGCUCAACCGGGGAGGGUCAUUGGAAACUGGUUGGCUUGAGUGCAGAAGGGGAGAGUGGAAUUCCAUGUGUAACGGUGAAAUGCGUAGAUAUAUGGAGGAACACCAGUGGCGAAGGCGACUCUCUGGUCUGUAACUGACGCUGAGGCUCGAAAGCGUGGGUAGCAAACAGG